CUCUCUGUGUGCUUCCUCUUCAGCUCCCUCUCGCGCCGCGUACUGAUGCCGGAGCCGGAUGAUGACGUCAUCUUCCGGCUCUGGCAUCAGUACGGUGCGCGAGGGAGCUGAAGAGGAAGCACACAGAGUG
rnacentral:miRNA from 1 species